rnacentral:tRNA from 1 species
AAGAAAUUAGUUAAACUAUAAUAUUAAUUUGUCAAGUUAAAGUUAUCUUUUUUAAGAUAUUUCUUA